AGCAGUCGCCGCGGGAAUACGUAGGUCCCGAGCGUUGUCCGGAUUUAUUGGGCGUAAAGCGAGCGCAGGCGGUUUGAUAAGUCUGAAGUUAAAGGCUGUGGCUCAACCAUAGUUCGCUUUGGAAACUGUCAAACUUGAGUGCAGAAGGGGAGAGUGGAAUUCCAUGUGUAGCGGUGAAAUGCGUAGAUAUAUGGAGGAACACCGGUGGCGAAAGCGGCUCUCUGGUCUGUAACUGACGCUGAGGCUCGAAAGCGUGGGGAGCGAACAGGAUUAGAUACCCGUGUAGUCCCUGUCUCUUAUACA
rnacentral:rRNA from 1 species